rnacentral:rRNA from 1 species
AUUGAACGCUCGCGGCAGGCCUAACACAUGCAAGUCGAACGAGUGGCGGACGGGUGAGUAAUGUCUGGGAAACUGCCUGAUGGAGGGGGAUAACUACUGGAAACGGUGGCUAAUACCGCAUACCAUCGGAUGUGCCCAGAUGGGAUUAGCUAGUUGGUGGGGUAAAGGCUCACCUAGGCGACGAUCCCUAGCUGGUCUUAGAGGAUGACCAGCCACACUGGAACUGAGACACGGCCCAGACUCCUACGGGAGGCAGCAGUGGGGAAUAUUGGACCAUGGGCGUAAGCCUGAUACAGCCAUGCCGCGUGUAUGAAGAAGGCCUUCGGGUUGUAAAGUACUUUCAGCGGGUAGGCGUUACCCGGAGAAGAAGCACCGGCUAACUCCGUGCCAGCCGCCGCGGUAAUUC